CUUAUCUUUGGCCGCGUCGAGAGAGAGAGUCCAUUUGGUUUAGUAGGGGGCUUUUUGGAGCCCAUUUUUGCAAGGGCAUCUGCCAGCUGAUUACCAUGUAUUUGUGUGCUUUGUUAGCUUUGGAUUUCAAUUUUGCCCUCUUUAUGAUCCUCACAAAAUUCUGACUUGAAAGUUUUUUUUUCGUUGCAAUUGGCUAAAAUUUAAAAAGCUCUCGAGCAUGUUGACGAUCUUUUAAUAAUCAGCUGAUUUUAAGCGCGGGUUAAAUGUUUAUCCCAUUGAGGAAGCAAACUAAAGUUAUCCCCGAUGAAUAAGGGACAAAAAAUUGAAGGCGGGACAAAGAAAUAUUUUACCCGGGACAGUGGUUUAAAUUUUAUCCCUUUGGAUUUAUAUCGGGAUAUCUUUUAUCCCGGGAGAGCAAGUCUAUUGAAUCUCCCCAAAUGUAAUAACAUGAUGUUACCUGUCUUAUUUUAGGGUACGCAUUGCUGAACGGCUCGCAGUGUUUGUUCUUCAGUGGAGUGCAGCUAGAGUAGAGGUCAAAUAGGUGUGCUAGAAUGCACCUCUCUGCUGAACUACAGUCUCCAGGGUUUGACACAUGUUUUACGACUUUGCAAAGUCCUUCAAAAACCGAGGAAACUUGCUCUGGGCUUACUAUUACCAAUAACAAAGUUAGUUGCAAUUCCCAAUCAAAAUUUCCAUACAUAGCAGACAGCAGUGGUAACGUCUCAACACUCCGACAACGUACAAGCUUAAUGAGGUUGUGUAGCUACGGACUAAGGUCGGACCUUUCACUUGCAGUUGGGCCUCAACAUCUGGCAGCUCCUUAAUUAUCUGUUGAACAGUAAUUAAUUGAAAUAGGUAACAAACGCAGAACAGAGUAAAAAAUAACAUAAACUACCUGAAUACAGAUAUCAAUAAGGCCGUAAAUGUUAAGGGACAACUCCAUCAGAUCAAACAGGAAAGCAACAUGUUCCUGAACGGGAAGAUAGUUACAUGAUCCAGAAGCAAAAGAGCUGAGCAUUUCCAGCACAGUGGUAGCACAUUGCAUACUGAUAACAUGCUGGUCAAAGUAAGACAGUCCUUGCAUUUUUUGUGUCACAGCCUAGAAAGGAAAAAUUAUUUAAGCAAACACAAGUAUAAUUAUGUGUCCAAACAAACCUCAAAAUUAAAUUCUCCCCUGGAAUGUUUCUUGAUCCUGCCACCUUCGGCAACAUCAAUACUAAACUUUUUGCUAAAAAGUCUGGAAAUCUCCUUAGACGUCUUUUUGACCACAUGCCUAGCGUCAUCUCUCAUUUUCCCAACACCGUAUAGUAAAACAUGCCGUUGGUUAGAGUCAUGACUACUCGUGUCAUCCUGUAGACAAAAUGUUUAGAAUUUUUUUCACCAAUUGAGCUAAUUAAAUAUACCGGAGGUAACGGAAAAUGUGUAGUAUAAAUCAAGUGUCGGGACUGUCGGCGCCCUUCCCUACCCUCAACAGUGUCGUCCAAGCCACCAAUUCCACCAACUGUUGAUAAAGAUGGAGUAGGUGCAUCAUCUUUUGGCGAGUCUGGUGCGUCCUAAAUAAAUUUAUUUUUAAAAGCAGAUUUUUCUGAUAUAAAAAUUGCAAGCAACAAAUAUAGCAGCACUAGAGCCCAAGCAAAUUAAUUUAAAUUAAGCUUAAAAUUUGAGAAUCACUGGCACUUUGGUGAAAUUAAAUAAAGUUUUUUUAGGCCAGCAGCGUCUUUGCUACUUUGACUACAGCUUUACCAGACUAUUCUGUUGCUCCUCCUUGAUGUGCUGGAGCAACUUGUCUAGAUCGUCAUCAAUCUUGGAGUCAUCGUAGUCACCGAUGGGGCCACGCACCUGCACCAACAAACAGAACACACCACAAAAAUCUAGCGCGCUCAGCAUGACAAUUGCCCCACACACAAGCAAAUUUCAAAGCUUUGGAAAUUUUAGCUUGCUGACACCUCUCAAAAAUGGAAACUGACCAAAAUUCAAAAAUUGACAAAGUAUUUCAGAGGUGAUAGCAUCAAUAAUCCCAUAAAAUGGAACUUUAGGGUUUAUUUAACUUUUUACAGCUAUCUAACCUGAGCAGGCUUUAUGUCAAUGCCUGCAAAAAGAGUUGAGUCCUCAUCCUCCCCAAUUCCCUGGCUUUUGUUCUGCUGUUGUUGUUGACCCGACUGGGCUGCAGGUGGCCCUGUUAACAGGUCACCUCUUGAUAUGAGGGUGCACAUGUAGGCGUCGUGAGAGAAGACGUCAUUGCGAAUCAACUCAUAGAAAAGGUGCACCAGGUUUCCAAACAUUGUUUUAUUGGUGGCACUUGAAUUAUCU